rnacentral:rRNA from 1 species
CCUACGGGAGGCAGCAGUGGGGAAUAUUGGGCAAUGGAGGAAACUCUGACCCAGCAAUGCCGCGUGAAUGAAGAAGGUCUUCGGAUUGUAAAGUUCUUUAGUCAGGGAAGAAGUCAAUGACGGUAUCUGAAGAAUAAGCUCCGGUUAACUACGUGCCAGCAGCCGCGGUAAUACGUAGGGAGCAAGCGUCGUUCGGAAGGACUGGGCGUAAAGGGUGCGUAGGCGGUUGUACAAGUUAGAAGUGAAAUACCCAGGGCUUAACUCGGGUGCUGCUUCUAAAACUGUAUGACUUGAGUGCAGUAGAGGUGAGAGGAAUUCGUGGUGUAGCGGUGGAAUGCGUAGAUAUUAGGAGGAACACCAGAGGCGAAGGCAGCUAACUGGACUGCAACUGACGCUGAGGCACGAAAGUGUGGGUAUCAAACAGGAUUAGAUACCCGUGUAGUC